rnacentral:rRNA from 1 species
CUCGAGCGGCGAACGGGUGAGUAACACGUGAGUAAUCUGCCCUUCACUCUGGGAUAGCCACCGGAAACGGUGAUUAAUACCGGAUACGACCAAUCCCUGCAUGGGGUGUUGGUGGAAACUUUUUUGGGUGGGGGAUGUGCUCGCGGCCUAUCAGCUUGUUGGUGGGGUAAUGGCCUACCAAGGCUUCGACGGGUAGCCGGCCUGAGAGGGUGACCGGCCACACUGGGACUGAGACACGGCCCAGACUCCUACGGGAGGCAGCAGUGGGGAAUAUUGGACAAUGGGCGGAAGCCUGAUCCAGCAACGCCGCGUGAGGGAUGACGGCCUUCGGGUUGUAAACCUCUUUCAGCACCGACGAAGCGCAAGUGACGGUAGGUGCAGAAGAAGGACCGGCCAACUACGUGCCAGCAGCCGCGGUAAUACGUAGGGUCCGAGCGUUGUCCGGAAUUAUUGGGCGUAAAGGGCUCGUAGGCGGUUUGUCGCGUCGGGAGUGAAAACACCGGGCUUAACUCGGUGCUUGCUUUCGAUACGGGCAGACUUGAGGUAUGCAGGGGAGAACGGAAUUCCUGGUGUAGCGGUGAAAUGCGCAGAUAUCAGGAGG